rnacentral:rRNA from 1 species
AACGACCGCUGGCGGCGUGCCUAAUACAUGCAAGUCGAACGCAGUGGGGACGGGUGAGGAACACGUGGGUAACCUCCCAUCAGAGGGGAAAACACUUGGAAACAGGUGCUAAACCGAUACUGAUGGAUGGACCCGCGGUGCAUUAGCUAGUUGGUGAGGUAACGGCUCACCAAGGCCACGAUGCAUAGACUACCUGAGAGGGUGAUCGUCCACACGUGGACUGAGACACGGCCCAGACGCCGACGGGAGGCAGCAGUAGGGAAUCUUCGGUAAUUGACGAAAGUCUGACCGAGCAACGCCGCGUGAGUGAAGAAGGUGGUCGGAUCGGAAACCUCUGUUGUUAGAGAAGCGGUAUGUAUCCAGAAAGCCACGGGUCACUUCGUGCCAGCCGCCGCGGUAAUAC